UCCAUGUGUAUAUAGUCUUAAUUCAUUCCUACUUAGAUUUGUGUCUAUUGGGUAUAUGUUGUGUAAUUUGUUAGAUAUUACUGCACUGUCGGAGCUAGAAGCACAAGCAUUUGAUUUGAUUUGAGUCAGUGUAGUUCAAGUGAGUCAGUGUAGUUCAGGUUAGUCAGUGUAGUUCAGGUGAGUCAGUGUAGUUCUGGUUAGUCAGUGUAGUUCAGGUUAGUCAGUGCAGUACAGGAGUCAGUAUAGUUCAGGUUAGUCAGUGUAGUUCAGGUGAGUCAGUGUAGUUCCGGUUAGUCAGUGUAGUUCAGGUUAGUCAGUGCAGUACAGGAGUCAGUACAGUUCAGGUUAGUCAGUGUAGUUCAGGUUAGUCAGUGUAGUUCAGGUGAGUCAAUGCAGUACAGGAGUCAGUGUAGUUCAGGUAUGUCAGUGCAGUUCAGGUGAGUCAAUGCAGUACAGGAGUGCGUGCAGUACAUGAGUCAGUGUCGUUCAGGUUAGUCAGUGUAGUUCAGGUUAAUAAGUGCAGUUCAGGUGAGUCAAUGCAGUACAGGAGUGCGUGCAGUACAUGAGUCAGUAUAGUUCAGGUGAGUCAGUGUAGUUCAGGUGAGUCAGUGUAGUUCAGGUUAGUCAGUGUAGUUCAGGUUAGUCAGUGUAGUUCAGGUGAGUCAGUGCAGUUCAGGUAAAGUCAAUGCAGUACAGGAGUGCAUGCAGUAGAUGGGUCAGUGUCAUUCAGGUUAAUCAGUGUAGUUAAGGUGAGUCAGUGCAGUACAGGAGUCAGUGUAGUUCAGGUAAGUCAGUGCAGUACAGGAGUCAGUGUAGUUCAGUUGAGUCAGUGUAGUUCCGGUUAGUCAGUGUAGUUCAGGUUAGUCAGUGUAGUUCAGGUGAGUCAAUGCAGUACAGGAGUCAGUGUAGUUCAGGUGAGUCAGUGAAGUUCAGGUGAGUCAGUGAAGUUCAGGUGAGUCAGUGUAGUUCAGGUGAGUCAGUGUAGUUCAGGUGAGUCAGUGCAGUACAGGAGUCAGUAUAGUUCAGGUUAGUCAGUGUAGUUCAGGUGAGUCAAUGCAGUACAGGAGUCAGUGUAGUUCAGGUUAGUCAGUGUAGUUCAGGUUAGUCAGUGUAGUUCAGGUUAAUCAGUGUCGUUCAGGUUAGUCAGUGUAGUUCAGGUUAGUCAGUGUAGUUCAG
rnacentral:lncRNA from 1 species